AACGAACGCUAGCGGCGCGCUUAACACAUGCAAGUCGAACGGGUGAGGCCCCUUCGGGGGCCAAGCUAGUGGCAAACGGGUGCGUAACACGUAGGAACCUACCCUGAAGUGGGGGACAACGGCUGGAAACGGUCGCUAAUCCCGCAUAGUCUCGCAAGAGUAAAGCCUUCGGGCGCUUCAGGACGGGCCUGCGGCCUAUCAGGUAGUUGGUGGGGUAAUGGCCUACCAAGCCGACGACGGGUAGGGGGCGUGAGAGCGUGGCUCCCCACACGGGAACUGAGACACGGCCCAAACUCCUACGGGAGGCAGCAGUGGGGAAUCUUGCGCAAUGGGCGAAAGCCUGACGCAGCCAUGCCGCGUGGAUGAUGAAGGUCUUAGGAUUGUAAAGUCCUUUCACCGGUGAAGAUAAUGACUGUAGCCGGAGAAGAAGCCCCGGCUAACUUCGUGCCAGCAGCCGCCGUAACAC
rnacentral:rRNA from 1 species